AAAUUACCCAUUUUAAUUAAAACUGAAUCCAUCUAUAUUGAACUGUGCACAAACCAAAAUCAGAAUCGAAACUGCCCAAAAUAAAAUAUGGAAUAGCCCCAAAAAGGGUACUGGACCGACAAGAAUUAUGAGGAGCCAGACAUAGACAGUCCGGUCCCUCCCCUCCCCAAACCGGAACCGUCUGUCCAGUUCCAAUCCUGUCCUAUAAACCAGACCAGUGCCAUGUAUAUCCAAAGCUGCUUUUUCAAGCACCAGUACAUAUCCAAUAGGCGAUAGUAUUUACCCAUCCUAGACGAAACCCCCUUGACAUACCAAUGUCAUUUAUCCAUAUAAAGUAUAAAACUUCCAACAAAUUCACUGAUACAUUUCAGCAUUCAGACCAAUAAUCAACAGAACCACACUUGCCAAUGGCUUCAUGGAAGAAUCUUUUGUGCCGCCGUAUUAACCUGCUUGGAGAGAUAAGCUUCAUAAAUCUCCACUACAAGCCGA
rnacentral:misc_RNA from 1 species